rnacentral:rRNA from 1 species
GACGAGCCACACGAACGUUAUUCGGAAUUACUGGGUUUAAAGGGUGCGUAGGCGGCUAUGUAAGUCAGGAGUGAAAGUUUGCGGCUCAACCGUAAAAUUGCUUUUGAUACUGCAUGGCUAGAAUUAGGAUGAGGUCAGCGGAAUGUGGCAUGUAGCGGUGAAAUGCAUAGAUAUGCCAUAGAACACCAAUUGCGAAGGCAGCUGGCUAGACCCGUAUUGACGCUGAGGCACGAAAGCGUGGGGAGCGAACAGG